CUAUUUCCCUGCUGUUAAGAUCUCCAUGUAUCUAAGGAAUAAACCAAGUUUGAACAAAGCAUAUCCUAAGACUCAUAAAGUACAAAAUGUCACAGGCAUUACUGAUGAGAUCUGUGAUUGAAAUAACUAUUUUUAAACAUAUUUCCUGAUCCUGUUAUCUGGCCAACUUAAACUCACUUGAGAUGUACCCAUGUGGCAGCUCUACUUUCACAGAAUUCACAGAAUGACUAGGUUGGAAGAGACCUUAAAAGUUAUCGACAAACCCAUGCCAUAAAUUCAUUCAUUCCUUGCAACUGUGAGUCUGUUUCUGUUGGUGAAGCUGCUGUUACUGGUCUGUGAUGCUGCACCAAGGGCUCAUGUAAACAGGGUCAUUGAUUGAGACCAAGGUAAGUUACAAAUUGAAAGGAGGAGCUAUUCUCAGUUAACUUCAUCAUCUUAAUGAAGAGGCAAUUUGGAGUAGUUAAUAAGGAAUAGCUGUUCUGGAAUAAUCCCUUUUUAAGACAAACCCUCACUGUUUCUAUAAUUGCAUUCCAGGAAGCUAUUCUGUUCUGAAUCAGCAUGGGAUAGAGUGCCUAGAAGACGUUCAGACCAAGCACAGCUAGCGCGUCCCUGCUGGUUCUCCAUUCUGCAUCCGUGCAGCCACGUUCUAUUGAUGGCCUGUUGUGAUUUCAAUGGAACAUCAUGGGAUGUACCUGGCACGUCGGGCAGCACUGGAUGGAGGUGCCUUUAGCCCAAUGUACCUGGCAUGGUGGUAAGGUGAAGGU
rnacentral:lncRNA from 1 species